CUGGGACUUGCCAGGAAAAGCUACUCUCCGGGAAUCUAUUCUGCUCUAACUUCCUCUCCUGAGUCCAAUGGCUGGAAGCCUUCAUUCCUGACUUCCUUGCUCGCUCACUGUCUUUCUUCUCUUUUCAUAAUUUCCUCCUCCACCUCAAGAGGCUCCAGCCCUGAAGCCAUGCACGACUGUAGCUCCUAUCUUUGGGGUUUGGUCCAAUACCCCAUUUUUCAAAGGCAUGGGAGUCCGGCUCUUUUCAGAGUUGGUCUGGAUCACAGAGCUGUGAUGAGAAAAGUGCAUCAUGGGUGCGGAACUUCAGGGGGGAAGGAUAAUGAGUUUGUUGUGACGUGGUUAUUUUCUUAGAUCGUACAACCAACGUGGUAAUGCUGGCAUAAUAAUUCCCGGUUGCCAUUUUCUGACAUUUGAAAAGAUCUGAAGAUACGCCCCUUGGAUGCCUGCAGAGAAGCUCUGGGGCUUCAGUCAAUGACUCAGGGUAGCCACCGAACAUGAUGCUCGGGCAGUGGGUGCCACCUGGACUCCACUCUCCCCUCUCUCUGGGAUCAUAGAGUCCAAGGUGUUCUGUGGCCUCUCGGCCAAUCCCAGCAGCUCAGCGUGCAGAAGACCGAGGAGCCAUUGGAAUUCAACACAACACGAAAUAAUCAACAAAUUCGGGGAAUGUUAAUCUGACCAUCACCAGUUACAAAUGAUGUUUCAUGCUACCUUCUAUUCCUGCCUUCAUAAAUCAAGGUAAUUACUUGGCAAUCUGGCUAUGCCUUGUAAGGCAAAAGAGCUGUUCAUUUCUUGUGUCAAAUGGUGAACAGGGAGGGAGAGUAAAAUGGUAAAUAACCCUGCCUCCCAUCUGUGCCCAAUCAGCUCUAAAUCUCCAGGAAAAAAUGUGCUCAGGAUGGCCAGAGAAAUGUCCUUCCAACUGUGCAUGGAAAGGUAUGAUUUUGUGCAGCAGGUGAAGGACUGGUUAGAGUAAGUGUGUGCUGAGCUUUUGUGUUUGAAAGCGAGCCUGUGCACUUCUAACGAUUGGAAGGUUUCCUUGCCUUCUCCGAUCUUACACACAGCAAGGACAGCAAAGCCUUCCAGACCUGCCUGUGACAUGCACUGCACAUUCUAAAGAUGCCUAUGCAAUGGAAAACACCACUGUCUGCUCCAGCACAGCUGCCAUUCUUCCAUCUUAUCGACCUUAAUGCAACAACUCCUCACAGGCAGAGAUUUUAAAAUGUGUUCUUGGCAGAAGAGAGACUCAAAGAUGGGACAAAUGUGUCAUUUAAAUGCCUGUUAAAAUGGAAACAGACAUAGUAUAGUCAGAGGAUUGUGGCAGCUAAGAACAUAGUCUCUGGAGCAAAUCUGCAUGGGUGGCAAUGCCAAGCACAUGAGGUCCUAGUUGUAUGAACUUAGGAAAAGAAAAAGAGAACAUAUAUCCCCCUACCUUUUGAUUUCCAACAGUCUACUGAGAGGCCAAGAUUAUUUGCAGGGAAAGAAAAGGGGUCAAAAUGUUUUGCCAGUAACUCCCAAAUCAUCUACAGCCAAGGAGAAAAGUGUUUCAAGACAGAGGUGCUCAAUGGUAUCAAAUACUGCCAACAGACCAAGUAAUACAUGCAUUGAAGUGUCUACUGGAUCUAGCUAUAUGAAUUUUUAAUUUAGGACACUUAGGCCAUACUGAAGCAAGGUGACAAAAUGAAUAGCUACAAUGUCUCGUGAAUCUUGGGUUUCCAUUCACCCUGGUAUUCAAGAGAAAUUCUUGCAUCAUGGAAGUUGCAGUUGGAUAGGACUUUCUCAGCUGAACACUGUCAUCUGCCAGAGCUUCAGGCAAGAACCCAGAACAGAUGAAACCCCAGACAUGACAAAAUAAGCCAAAGAAUACCAGGCCAAGGUGUGAAAGGCCAGAUGAGAACAAGCAGCGUACACGAUUCUGUUGCCAACAGAUCUCCCCUAACAGUGUCGUGCACCAAAUUUCCACAGUGAAUGUCAGGAAAAAAUGGCAAUUGAGAUGAAGAAACUGAGGCAGACAGAGGUGAAGAAACUUGCACAAGGUCAAAGAACAAGCUGAAGAAAUCUGAAAAAAGGCUGAAAGCUGGAACAACUGAUGGAAUUCUACGAGACUGUACAAACAAACAAACACUAGCAAAAGAAAUAAGCUGGACACAAGGGGAGGAUUCAUCAUCAAAUCAUUACAUGAUUUCAUGUUAAUGUGGGGAAGGGAAAUAUUUGUCAAUGGCUAUGUCUCAAACUGCCCCUGGAGAAGUCGAAAGAAUACCUGAAGCUACAUUAGAAGUACGAUUGAGAAAUCACUGAUAUAUUACUUCUCACUCCUUUAUCGCCAGGCAGUACAGUGAUUGCAAAUUGCAGUUAGAAUGGGAAUGUCGGCAUGUUGUUUAUUUUCAACAUGAUUCGACAUGAGAAUAACAAAAAUU
rnacentral:lncRNA from 1 species